UACGUAGGGGGCAAGCGUUGUCCGGAUUUAUUGGGCGUAAAGCGCUCGCAGGUGGUUCGAUGCGUCGUGCGUGAAAGACCCCGGCUCGACUGGGGAGGGUCGUGCGUAGUACGGUCGAACUGGAGGCCAGUAGGGGGGAUGCGGAAUUCCGGGUGAGUGGUGGAAUGCGUAGAGAUCCGGAGGAACACCAGCGGCGAAGGCGGCAUCCUGGACUG
rnacentral:rRNA from 1 species